rnacentral:rRNA from 1 species
AGAGUUUGAUCAUGGCUCAGGACGAACGCUGGCGGCGUGCCUAAUACAUGCAAGUUGAACGCUGAAGCUUUAACUGAUGCUUGCAUCGACCUAAGUUUUCAGAGUAGCGGACGGGUGAGUAACACGUGGGUAACCUGCCCAUCAGAGGGGGAUAACACUUGGAAACAGGUGCUAAUACCGCAUAAUUCCUUUUACCGCAUGGUAAAAGGCUGAAAGACGCUUCUGGUGUCACUGAUGGAUGRACCCGCGGUGCAUUAGCUAGUCGGUGGGGUAACGGCCUACCGAGGCAAUGAUGCAUAGCCGACCUGAGAGGGUGAUCGGCCACAUUGGGACUGAGACACGGCCCAAACUCCUACGGGAGGCAGCAGUAGGGAAUCUUCGGCAAUGGACGAAAGUCUGACCGAGCAACGCCGCGUGAGUGAAGAAGGUUUUCGGAUCGUAAAACUCUGUUGUUAGAGAAGAACAAGAGAAGUAGUAACUGGCUUCUCCUUGACGGUAUCUAACCAGAAAGCCACGGCUAACUACGUGCCAGCAGCCGCGGUAAUACGUAGGUGGCAAGCGUUGUCCGGAUUUAUUGGGCGUAAAGCGAGCGCAGGCGGUCUUUUAAGUCUGAUGUGAAAGCCCUCGGCUUAACCGAGGAGGGUCAUUGGAAACUGGGAGACUUGAGUGCAGAAGAGGAAAGUGGAACUCCAUGUGUAGCGGUGGAAUGCGUAGAUAUAUGGAAGAACACCAGUGGCGAAGGCGGCUUUCUGGUCUGUAACUGACGCUGAGGCUCGAAAGCGUGGGGAGCAAACAGGAUUAGAUACCCUGGUAGUCC